rnacentral:rRNA from 1 species
UCAGGAUGAACGCUAGCGGCAGGCUUAACACAUGCAAGUCGAGGGGCAUCGGGAGUAGCAAUACUGCCGGCGACCGGCGCAAGGGUGCGUAACGCGUGAGCAACAUGCCCGUAUCAGGGGGGAUAAUCCAUGGAAACGUGGUCUAAUACCCCAUAGUAAUUAUGUAAGGCAUCUUAUAUAAUUUAAAGCUUUGGUGGAUACGGAUUGGCUCGCGUGGCAUUAGCUAGAUGGUAAGGUAACGGCUUACCAUGGCUACGAUGUCUAGGGGUUCUGAGAGGAAGGUCCCCCACACUGGAACUGAGACACGGUCCAGACUCCUACGGGAGGCAGCAGUGAGGAAUAUUGGACAAUGGAUGGAAAUCUGAUCCAGCCAUGCCGCGUGCAAGGAAGACGGCCCUAUGGGUUGUAAACUGCUUUUGUAUGGGAGCAAUAAGGGCUACGUGUAGUCCGAUGAGAGUACCAUACGAAUAAGCACCGGCUAACUCCGUGCCAGCCGCGGC